rnacentral:rRNA from 1 species
GAUGAACGCUGGCGGCGUGCCUAAUACAUGCAAGUCGAGCGAACGGACGAGAAGCUUGCUUCUCUGAUGUUAGCGGCGGACGGGUGAGUAACACGUGGAUAACCUACCUAUAAGACUGGGAUAACUUCGGGAAACCGGAGCUAAUACCGGAUGAUAUUUUGAACCGCAUGGUUCAAAAGUGAAAGACGGUCUUGCUGUCACUUAUAGAUGGAUCCGCGCUGCAUUAGCUAGUUGGUAAGGUAACGGCUUACCAAGGCAACGAUGCAUAGCCGACCUGAGAGGGGGAUCGGCCACACUGGGACUGAGACACGGUCCCGACUCCUACGGGAGGCAACAGUAGGGAAUCUUCCGCAAUGGGCGAAAGCCUGACGGAGCAACGCCGCGUGAGUGAUGAAGGUCUUCGGAUCGUAAAACUCUGUUAUUAGGGAAGAACAUAUGUGUAAGUAACUGUGCACAUCUUGACGGUACCUAAUCAGAAAGCCACGGCUAACUACGUG